rnacentral:rRNA from 1 species
UACGGGGGGGAGCAAGCGUUGUCCGGAUUUAUUGGGCGUAAAGAGCGUGUAGGCGGCUUUACAGGUCCGUUGUGAAAACUCGAGGCUCAACCUCGAGACGCCGGUGGAAACCGUAAGGCUAGAGUCCGGAAGAGGAGAGUGGAAUUCCUGGUGUAGCGGUGAAAUGCGCAGAUAUCAGGAGGAACACCCGUGGCGAAAGCGGCUCUCUGGGACGGUACUGA